GAUGAACGCUGGCGGCGUGCCUAAUACAUGCAAGUCGAGCGAACGGACGAGAAGCUUGCUUCUCUGAUGUUAGCGGCGGACGGGUGAGUAACACGUGGAUAACCUACCUAUAAGACUGGGAUAACUUCGGGAAACCGUAGCUAAUACCGGAUAAUAUUUUGAACCGCAUGGUUCAAAAGUGAAAGACGGUCUUGCUGUCACUUAUAGAUGGAUCCGCGCUGCAUUAGCUAGUUGGUAAGGUAACGGCUUACCAAGGCAACGAUGCAUAGCCGACCUGAGAGGGUGAUCGGCCACACUGGAACUGAGACACGGUCCAGACUCCUACGGGAGGCAGCAGUAGGGAAUCUUCCGCAAUGGGCGAAAGCCUGACGGAGCAACGCCGCGUGAGUGAUGAAGGUCUUCGGAUCGUAAAACUCUGUUAUUAGGGAAGAACAUAUGUGUAAGUAACUGUGCACAUCUUGACGGUACCUAAUCAGAAAGCCACGGCUAACUACGUGCCAGCAGCCGCGGUAAUACGUAGGUGGCAAGCGUUAUCCGGAAUUAUUGGGCGUAAAGCGCGCGUAGGCGGUUUUUUAAGUCUGAUGUGAAAGCCCACGGCUCAACCGUGGAGGGUCAUUGGAAACUGGAAAACUUGAGUGCAGAAGAGGAAAGUGGAAUUCCAUGUGUAGCGGUGAAAUGCGCAGAGAUAUGGAGGAACACCAGUGGCGAAGGCGACUUUCUGGUCUGUAACUGACGCUGAUGUGCGAAAGCGUGGGGAUCAAACAGGAUUAGAUACCCUGGUAGUCCACGCCGUAAACGAUGAGUGCUAAGUGUUAGGGGGUUUCCGCCCCUUAGUGCUGCAGCUAACGCAUUAAGCACUCCGCCUGGGGAGUACGACCGCAAGGUUGAAACUCAAAGGAAUUGACGGGGACCCGCACAAGCGGUGGAGCAUGUGGUUUAAUUCGAAGCAACGCGAAGAACCUUACCAAAUCUUGACAUCCUUUGACAACUCUAGAGAUAGAGCCUUCCCCUUCGGGGGACAAAGUGACAGGUGGUGCAUGGUUGUCGUCAGCUCGUGUCGUGAGAUGUUGGGUUAAGUCCCGCAACGAGCGCAACCCUUAAGCUUAGUUGCCAUCAUUAAGUUGGGCACUCUAAGUUGACUGCCGGUGACAAACCGGAGGAAGGUGGGGAUGACGUCAAAUCAUCAUGCCCCUUAUGAUUUGGGCUACACACGUGCUACAAUGGACAAUACAAAGGGCAGCGAAACCGCGAGGUCAAGCAAAUCCCAUAAAGUUGUUCUCAGUUCGGAUUGUAGUCUGCAACUCGACUACACGAAGCUGGAAUCGCUAGUAAUCGUAGAUCAGCAUGCUACGGUGAAUACGUUCCCGGGGUCC
rnacentral:rRNA from 1 species